rnacentral:sRNA from 1 species
CAGCGAGGAAGAGGAGGAGGCUGUCCCUGAAGACCUGAGGCCGUCGGCACAGAGUGCCUUCCAGCUGGCGUACCAGGCAUGGGUGACCAACGCCCAGACGGUGCUGAGGCGGCGGCAGCAGGAGCAGGAGCAGGCAAGGCAAGAGCAGGCAGGACAGCUACCCACAGGUGAGCUGGGGGGCGUGGGGACUCUGAGGGGAAGCCGCGGGACUGCCAGUCACUCAUCAGCAUCCUGUGCCCAGGAGGUGGUCCCAGCCAGGAGGUGGAGCCGGCAGAGGGCCCCGAGGAGGCAGCGGCAGGCCGGAGCCACGUGGUGCAGAGGGUGCUGAGCACGGCGCAGUUCCUGUGGAUGCUGGGGCAGGCACUAGUGGACGGGCUGACACGCUGGCUGCAGGAGUUCACCCGGCACCACGGCACCAUGAGCGACGUGCUGCGGGCAGAGCGCUACCUCCUCACACAGGAGCUCCUGCAGGGCGGCGAAGUGCACAGGGGCGUGCUGGAUCAGCUGUACACAAGCCAGGCCGAGGCCACGCUGCCAGGCCCCACCGAGGCCCCCAAUGCCCCAAGCACCGUGUCCAGGUAGGUGCUGGGGUGACCCGAGCCCCAGCUGCUGCCCCUGGUGUGUGGGCAACGCCCAGC